rnacentral:rRNA from 1 species
AUACGUAGGGGGCAAGCGUUAUCCGGAUUCAUUGGGCGUAAAGAGCGCGUAGGCGGAUUGUUAAGUCAGAUGUGAAAACCGGGGGCUCAACCCGCGGCCUGCAUCUGAAACUGGCAGUCUUGAGUCUGGUAGAGGAAAGUGGAAUUCCUGGUGUAGCGGUGAAAUGCGCAGAUAUCAGGAGGAACACCAGUGGCGAAGGCGGCUUUCUGGGCCACGACUGACGCUGAGGCGCGAAAGCUAGGGGAGC